rnacentral:pre_miRNA from 1 species
GAUUUAAACUGAAAAAGUCAUCAACAACAAAGUUGUAUAACUCAUCAAGAUCUAUAACUUCUAUUUUGGACAUUUCUUCAUCCGACAAAGUUAUUUGUAACAUUGUUCACAAUAUGUACAUAUCUUAUAUAGUUUUAUAAACUAUAGAGAGAUAUAUAUAAAUUUUGUGAAAAUGUUACCAUCACUUUGUCGGAUGAAGAAAUGACCAAGAUAGAAGUUAUAUAGAUCUUGAUGAGUUAUACAACUUUGUUGUUGAUGACUUUUUCAUCUGAAAUC